rnacentral:rRNA from 1 species
UACGUAGGGGGCUAGCGUUGUCCGGAUUUAUUGGGCGUAAAGAGCUCGUAGGCGGCUUGUCGCGUCGGAUGUGAAAGCCCGGGGCUUAACUCCGGGUCUGCAUUCGAUACGGGCAGGCUAGAGUUCGGUAGGGGAGAUCGGAAUUCCUGGUGUAGCGGUGAAAUGCGCAGAUAUCAGGAGGAACACCGGUGGCGAAGGCGGAUCUCUGGGCCGAUACUGACGCUGAGGAGCGAAAGCGUGGGGAGCGAACAGG